GAUGAACGCUGGCGGCGUGCCUAAUACAUGCAAGUCGAGCGAACAGACGAGGAGCUUGCUCCUCUGACGUUAGCGGCGGACGGGUGAGUAACACGUGGAUAACCUACCUAUAAGACUGGGAUAACUUCGGGAAACCGGAGCUAAUACCGGAUAAUAUAUUGAACCGCAUGGUUCAAUAGUGAAAGACGGUUUUGCUGUCACUUAUAGAUGGAUCCGCGCCGCAUUAGCUAGUUGGUAAGGUAACGGCUUACCAAGGCAACGAUGCGUAGCCGACCUGAGAGGGUGAUCGGCCACACUGGAACUGAGACACGGUCCAGACUCCUACGGGAGGCAGCAGUAGGGAAUCUUCCGCAAUGGGCGAAAGCCUGACGGAGCAACGCCGCGUGAGUGAUGAAGGUCUUCGGAUCGUAAAACUCUGUUAUUAGGGAAGAACAAAUGUGUAAGUAACUAUGCAUGUCUUAACGGUACCUAAUCAGAAAGCCACGGCUAACUACGUG
rnacentral:rRNA from 1 species